rnacentral:rRNA from 1 species
CCUACGGGCGGCAGCAGUGGGGAAUAUUGGGCAAUGGGCGCAAGCCUGACCCAGCAACGCCGCGUGAAGGAAGAAGGCUUUCGGGUUGGAAACCUCUUUUAAGAGGGAAGAGCAGAAGACGGUACCUCUUGAAUAAGCCACGGCUAACCACGUGCCAGCAGCCGCGGUAAUACGUAGGUGGCAAGCGUUGUCCGGAUUUACUGGGUGAAACGGGCGUGUAGCCGGGAAGACAAGUCAGAUUUGAAAUCCCGCGGCUCAACCGCGGAACUGCAUUUGAAACUGUUUUUCUUGAGUACCGGAGAGGUCAUCGGAAUUCCUUGUGUAGCGGUGAAAUGCGUAGAUAUCAGGAAGAACACCAGUGGCGAAUGCGGCUGACUGGACGGCAACUGACGGUGAGGCGCGAAAGCGUGGGGAGCAAACAGGAUUAGAUACCCUAGUAGUC